GUGAUCCUACGGGGGGCAGCAGUGAGGAAUAUUGGUCAAUGGGCGCGAGCCUGAACCAGCCACGUCGCGUGAGGGAAGACGGUCCUAUGGAUUGUAAACCUCUUUUGUCGGGGAGCAAAAGACGCCACGCGUGGCGUUCCGAGAGUACCCGAAGAAAAAGCAUCGGCUAACUCCGUGCCAGCAGCCGCGGUAAUACGGAGGAUGCGAGCGUUAUCCGGAUUUAUUGGGUUUAAAGGGUGCGCAGGCGGAAGAUCAAGUCAGCGGUAAAAUGUAGAUGCUCAAACU
rnacentral:rRNA from 1 species